rnacentral:rRNA from 1 species
GAUGAACGCUGGCGGCGUGCCUAAUACAUGCAAGUCGAGCGAAUGGAUUAAGAGCUUGCUCUUAUGAAGUUAGCGGCGGACGGGUGAGUAACACGUGGGUAACCUGCCCAUAAGACUGGGAUAACUCCGGGAAACCGGGGCUAAUACCGGAUAACAUUUUGAACCGCAUGGUUCGAAAGUGAAAGGCGGCUUCGGCUGUCACUCAUGGCUGGACCCGCGUCGCAUUCGCUAGUUGGUGAGGUAACGGCUCACCAAGGCAACGAUGCGUAGCCGACCUGAGAGGGUGAUCGGCCACACUGGGACUGGGACACGGCCCAGACUCCUACGGGAGGCAGCAGUAGGGAAUCUUCCGCAAUGGACGAAAGUCUGACGGAGCAACGCCGCGUGAGUGAUGAAGGCUUUCGGGUCGUAAAACUCUGUUGUUAGGGAAGAACAAGUGCUAGUUGAAUAAGCUGGCACCUUGACGGUACCUAACCAGAAAGCCACGGCUAACUACGUGCCAGCCGCCGCAGUAA